UGCCACUGAGGACAGUUUUUUUUCUGGAGAUCAUUCCUUGUGGAGUUGUAAUGUAUCUUGGGAUUCUACCCAAAAGUUGCUAACAUCACUGUACUGGGGAAAGGAUCAAAAUUUUCUAGCUUACCCUGGUGCAUUCCGUCUAUGGAUUUAGACUAUUCUUCACAUCAUUUGCAUGAAGAAGCUUACAGCUCUCCCCAGACAGAGAGCGGAUUACAAAUGUUCGUAGAGGCAACACUUAGUCCCACUGGUUUGUAAACUACACUUGGAACAAGAAAUUGCAGCUGCAUAUGUUUUAUGGUGUUGCUGAAGCCAUAGUGUGGGGAACAAAGGCAAACUCAGAGGACUCUGCUAUGAUGGGAUUCAGCUCAACAUUCUUUCUGUGCCCAAAAACUGUGAAAAUCUUAACAGGUCUAACCUGAGCUUGACAAUGUAUAAAGAAGCAGAUAGACAAAACGACAACUCCUUCUCUUGGUUGUAUACCAAAACUGAGACAGGAGCAGCAUGGUACCCAGCUGUGAUGGAAGCAGAGAGAUGUGAUAAGGUUGAUGCUGUACUCACAACUGCACUAACAACCAGACUCAAGAAGAGCAUGCCCUUCAGUGGCACGCAAGAUUGCAGCAGCAUGACUUUUGGACGGCCUUCACUUGCACAGCCUGCAUUACUGGAACGGGGUAUUGGGUCCUUGACCUGAAUUUUCAUGCUCUUCCUCAAGUGAGUGCCAUGAAGAAGCACAAUGUGCUCACCUCCAGCUCACAGAUGCAUUUGGAGACAGGAAGCAAGUUUAAGUGGAGUUUGGCAGCACAUGGGGCAAACUUUUCCUGACAGCCAAAGCAGUGAUAUUGAGCACUACCAUUCUCUGCUGUACACAUCUUUGCCUGACCUUAUCCUGGAUGCAUCCCCUUCAACUUACUUCUUUAAAGAGCCUAAUAGAUUUCCUUUAGCUUGAGGCAGAGCAAACCUCUGCUGGUUUGAACUAAUGUAGAAGUAUUAGAAAAGAUUGGUGCUGGGAAUUUUUUUUCUCUCUUCCCCUUUCUGUGCAGUAGGAAGAAAGCGUAUGACCUAAAUCUGCCAAGCACCUUCAAAGGGAAGGAAGAAACACGUGUGGAAAAGCAUUAGAAAGCCACCCAGCUUCCUUUAAUUAUGAUGAGAACGCCAACAUUGCUAAAUGAAUAGAAAAUAAACGGAAUAAGUAUUAAAUGAUUAUGGUUUUCCUCACAUAUUUCUUUUCAUCUAUUCACCAGCAGAUAGCUUUACAACGUAAAUAAAUC